UAUAGGCGUAUUAAGAUAAAAACACGCGACCCGAUCAAAUAUAUCAAUAUUUAUAAAAAAUAAUUAAUUUUUUGACUGCAUUGACAUUUGCUACGAAAAGAAGAAAAAAGUGAAAAGAUCAAGGAAACAAUAUUUCACCUCUCAAAGUUCGAGUGAUUAUUUAAAUGAGAGUUUAAAGGUCAUUUAGAUCGGACAAGUGUGAAGGCAUAAUUAUCAAAAGAGAAUAAAUAUAUGUGCGAUAUACGUAAUAAUGCGAUAAAGGAAAAGUAAUAAAGUUAGAAUGAACCGGUAACGACGAAUGAUUCUCGUUGCUCGUUUUAAAGACAUUAUCGUUGAAACCUUUCAUUAAUUUCGAUCCUGGGAAUCGAGAAAGUCAUAAUGCCGAGUAAACUCCUCUCUAAUGCGAUUGAAAUAUUCUCUGAAAGUGGUUGCGUGCAAAAACGUAAGACAUUGUUCGCGUAUGGCCUACGUCGAAUGUGUCUUUGAUAACCACGGAACGAUAAUGCCUUACUCGUGCCAAAAUAUUAUCAAGAAAUCGA